rnacentral:rRNA from 1 species
UACAGAGGUCUCAAGCGUUGUUCGGAUUCAUUGGGCGUAAAGGGUGCGCAGGCGGUGUGAUAAGUUGAGUGUGAAAUCCCGGGGCUUAACCUCGGAACUGCACUCAAUACUGUCAUGCUCGAGGAAUGUAGAGGAGAGUGGAAUUCACGGUGUAGCAGUGAAAUGCGUAGAUAUCGUGAGGAAGACCAGUUGCGAAGGCGACUCUCUGGGCAUUUCCUGACGCUCAUGCACGAAGGCCGGGGGAGCAAACAGG